UACGUAGGGGGCAAGCGUUGUCCGGAUUUAUUGGGCGUAAAGAGCGUGUAGGCGGUUUGGUAGGUCCGCUGUGAAAACUCGAGGCUCAACCUCGAGACGCCGGUGGAAACCAUCAGACUAGAGUCCGGAAGAGGAGAGUGGAAUUCCGUGGUGUAGCGGUGAAAUGCGCAGAUAUCAGGAAGAGCACCCGUGGCUAAGGCGGCUCUCUAGUACGGUACUGACGCUGAGACGCGAAAGCGUGGGGAGCGAACAGG
rnacentral:rRNA from 1 species